rnacentral:lncRNA from 1 species
AACAGACCAAUUAGGAUGGAUGAAUGAGCCAACAGACCUACAUUUUCUCUUUUUUUAAAUUAAAAACUAUAUUUUUUACUGGGCCAUUAAGCACCGGGCUGUCGGGCCGUGCCUAAGCCGUGCCACGGGCCACGGUGGCGGCCCAGGCACGGCCCGGUGCCUCGGGCCGUGCCUGGUAGUUGUCGGGCCGUGCCGUGCCCGGGCCGGGCCAACGGGCUACGGGCUGUAUGGCCAACUAUACAACUUCCCCGCGGAUCCAAAUCAGCAUAGUCGUUUGCUCCAACAGGUCCAUUCACUUUUCACUCUCAUUUUUUUAUUCCUUUAUUUUUCAUUCUUUCAUUUUUCUUUUCUUUUGUAUUGUAUAUAUUAACCUAGCUAACCAACUUUCUUCUCGCUACAAUGAACAAAAUUUUCUAGGUGAGAAGUUUGUUGGGAAUAACUUGUGCAAAAUUUUCUGCUGGAUAUAAUUUCUUUCACCGACAUUGAAGGAUAAAAAACUAUGUGUAUGAGUUGCAUUAUUCAUAAAAUUUUAUUAUAUAAAAGGGUAGCUAGAAAAUUUAGUUGUGGAGAAAUUGUUACGAUAAAUUUACCCACUAAUAGUAAUGAACAAAAGUUUGUUGCAGGUGUUAUGUACAAAAAGUUGUUAUGAUAAGUUAAAUUAUGUAAAAAAAACUAUAUAUAUAUAUAUAUAUUUUAAAAAAAAUUAUUCAUAUUUAAAACUAAGCUUUCUAAAUUUCUUUUGAAUGUAUACGACUCUCAUUUUGGCCUUGUUUACUUCCAAAAAAUUUUGCAAAAUAGGAAUAGUAGCACUUUCGUUUGUAUUUGACAAAUAUUGUCCAACUAUGGACUAACUAGGCUCAAAAGAUUCGUCUCGUCAAUUCCGACCAAACUGUGCAAUUAGUAUUUAUUUUCAUCUAUAUUUAAUACUCCAUGCAUACAUCUAAAGAUUUAAUGUGACGGGAAUCUGAAAAAUUUUGCAAAAUUUUUUGGGAACUAAACAAGCCCUUUGUAUCACAUCCGAAGUGACAUAUCUCUCAUCUAUAACUCUUAUAAAGCUAAACCUUACUAGAUGAAUUAUCUCUUCAUGCAAGGUGUCCACAUCAUUCUCCACGGCCUUGUUUACUUGCAAAAUAUUUUGCAAAAUGUGAAUAGUACCAAUUUCAUUUAUAUUUGACAAAUAUUGUCCAAUUAUGGAGUAACUAGGCUCAAAAGAUUCGUCUCGUCAAUUCCAACCAAACUGUGUAAUUAGUUUUUAUUUUCGUCUAUAUUUAAUACUUCAUACAUACGCCUAAAGAUUCGAUGUCACGGAAAAUCUGAAAAAUUUUACAAAAUUUUUUGGGAACUAAACAAGGCCUACGUGACCCACUAAAUAUUCUAUCUCUUCAUGUAAGGUGUCCACAUCAUUCCCCACUAAGUCCAUGUCAUCUCAUAUCCAUUACAAAAAAUAACCAUGUCAUCUAUAUUAUGUGAAAUACUUUAAAUCUUUAAUCUCUUAGAAUACAAGUCAUGUACUACACUAUUUGUUUUAUCACCAAUUAAUUCCUCUACA